AAAAAGGGCUUCUUUCGUGAGUGGCACACAUGGCGCAACUCAACUGCUCUUCAUGUGGAAUCGACAUCAAGAGAUUUUGGAAGCAUAAUUUUUUGGUACCUGGGCAGCUGGUGAUCAUUGGUCAAAAAAAAGAAAAAGAAAAAAAAAACAGCUCUAAGUCCCAGGGUUCCAGAACCUGGCUCCUUC
ensembl:snRNA